GAUGAACGCUAGCUACAGGCUUAACACAUGCAAGUCGAGGGGAAACGACAUCGAAAGCUUGCUUUUGAUGGGCGUCGACCGGCGCACGGGUGAGUAACGCGUAUCCAACCUGCCCAUCACUUGGGAAUAACCUUGCGAAAGUAAGACUAAUACCCAAUGAUAUCCCACGAAGGCAUCGGAAUGGGAUUCAAGAUUUAUCGGUGAUGGAUGGGGAUGCGUCUGAUUAGCUUGUGGGCGGGGGAACGGCCCACCAAGGCACCGAUCAGUAGGGGUUCUGAGAGGAAGGUCCCCCACAUGGGAACUGAGACACGGUCCAAACUCCUGAGGGAGGCAGCAGUGAGGAAUAGUGGGCAAUGGGCGAGAGCCUGAACCAGCCAAGUAGCGUGCAGGAUGACGGCCCUAUGGGUGGUAAACUGCUUUUAUAAGGGAAUAAAGUGGGUCUCGUGAGACUUUUUGCAUGUACCUUAUGAAUAAGGACCGGCUAAUUCCGUG
rnacentral:rRNA from 1 species